rnacentral:rRNA from 1 species
CGUGAAUGAUGAAGGUCUUAGGAUUGUAAAAUUCUUUCACCGGGGACGAUAAUGACGGUACCCGGAGAAGAAGCCCCGGCUAACUUCGUGCCAGCAGCCGCGGUAAUACGAAGGGGGCUAGCGUUGCUCGGAAUUACUGGGCGUAAAGGGAGCGUAGGCGGACUGUUUAGUCAGAGGUGAAAGCCCAGGGCUCAACCUUGGAAUUGCCUUUGAUACUGGCAGUCUUGAGUACGGAAGAGGUAUGUGGAACUCCGAGUGUAGAGGUGAAAUUCGUAGAUAUUCGGAAGAACACCAGUGGCGAAGGCGACAUACUGGUCCGUUACUGACGCUGAGGCUCGAAAGCGUGGGGAGCAAACAGGAUUAGAUACCCUGGUAGUCCACGCUGUAAACGAUGAGUGCUAGUUGUCGGCAGGCAUGCCUGUCGGUGACGCAGCUAACGCAUUAAGCACUCCGCCUGGGGAGUACGGUCGCAAGAUUA